rnacentral:rRNA from 1 species
GGAAUAUUGGACAAUGGGUGAGAGCCUGAUCCAGCCAUCCCGCGUGAAGGACGACUGCCCUAUGGGUUGUAAACUUCUUUUAUACUGGGAUAAACCUACUCUCGUGAGGGUAGCUGAAGGUACAGUAUGAAUAAGCACCGGCUAACUCCGUGCCAGCAGCCGCGGUAAUACGGAGGGUGCAAGCGUUAUCCGGAUUUAUUGGGUUUAAAGGGUCCGUAGGCGGACUCGUAAGUCAGUGGUGAAAUCUCAUAGCUUAACUAUGAAACUGCCAUUGAUACUGCGGGUCUUGAGUAAAGUAGAAGUGGCUGGAAUAAGUAGUGUAGCGGUGAAAUGCAUAGAUAUUACUUAGAACACCAAUUGCGAAGGCAGGUCACUAUGUUUUAACUGACGCUGAUGGACGAAAGCGUGGGGAGCGAACA